rnacentral:rRNA from 1 species
GAUUGAACGCUGGCGGCAUGCCUUACCCAUGCAAGUCGAACGGCAGCCCGGGUGCUUGCCCCUGGUGGCGAGUGGCGAACGGGUGAGUAAUACAUCGGAACAUGUCCUGUAGUGGGGGAUAGCCCGGCGAAAGCCGGAUUAAUACCGCAUACGAUCUACGGAUGAAAGCGGGGGACCUUCGGGCCUCGCGCUAUAGGGUUGGCCGAUGGCUGAUUAGCUAGUUGGUGGGGUAAAGGCCUACCAAGGCGACGAUCAGUAGCUGGUCUGAGAGGACGACCAGCCACACUGGGACUGAGACACGGCCCAGACUCCUACGGGAGGCAGCAGUGGGGAAUUUUGGACAAUGGGCGAAAGCCUGAUCCAGCAAUGCCGCGUGUGUGAAGAAGGCCUUCGGGUUGUAAAGCACUUUUGUCCGGAAAGAAAUCCUUGGCCCUAAUACGGUCGGGGGAUGACGGUACCGGAAGAAUAAGCACCGGCUAACUACGUG